UACGGGGGGGGCAAGCGUUGUUCGGAAUUACUGGGCGUAAAGGGCUCGUAGGCGGCCAACUAAGUCAGACGUGAAAUCCCUCGGCUUAACCGGGGAACUGCAUCUGAUACUGGAUGGCUUGAGUUCGGGAGAGGGAUGCGGAAUUCCUGGUGUAGCGGUGAAAUGCGUAGAUAUCAGGAGGAACACCGGUGGCGAAGGCGGGUCUCUGGGCCGUAACUGACGCUGAGGAGCGAAAGCAUGGGGAGCGAACAGG
rnacentral:rRNA from 1 species